rnacentral:rRNA from 1 species
CGCGGCCUAUCAGCUUGUUGGUGGGGUGACGGCCUACCAAGGCGACGACGGGUAGCCGGCCUGAGAGGGUGUCCGGCCACACUGGGACUGAGAUACGGCCCAGACUCCUACGGGAGGCAGCAGUGGGGAAUAUUGCACAAUGGGCGCAAGCCUGAUGCAGCGACGCCGCGCGGGGGAUGACGGCCUUCGGGUUGUAAACCUCUUUCACCAUCGACGAAGGUCCGGGAUUUCUCGGAUUGACGGUAGGUGGAGAAGAAGCACCGGCCAACUACGUGCCAGCAGCCGCGGUAAUACGUAGGGUGCGAGCGUUGUCCGGAAUUACUGGGCGUAAAGAGCUCGUAGGUGGUUUGUCGCGUUGUUCGUGAAAUCUCACGGCUUAACUGUGAGCGUGCGGGCGAUACGGGCAGACUGGAGUACUGCAGGGGAGACUGGAAUUCCUGGUGUAGCGGUGGAAUGCGCAGAUAUCAGGAGGAACACCGGUGGCGAAGGCGGGUCUCUGGGCAGUAACUGACGCUGAGGAGCGAAAGCGUGGGGAGCGAACAGGAUUAGAUACCCUGGUAGUCCACGCCGUAAACGGUGGGUACUAGGUGUGGGUUUCCUUCCUUGGGAUCCGUGCCGUAGCUAACGCAUUAAGUACCCCGCCUGGGGAGUACGG